CCAUGUAGCAGUCUUCCUAGCUCUGUGUUAUGUCAAAAUAAACAUAGAAUUUUCAAGAAUCGACACAACAGUUUUUGCGGCCAUUCCAAGAUCGAAACUUGAUAUUAAGACUCGUCGAUCAUCAAGGAUAUGUUAUUUUUUUUUAAUUCUAUGCGGCUGAGUCAUACAUAUAAUAUCCACGUGUCUGUGUUUUUGUAUGUUUUGAAUAAAGAAGUUUUAGAGAUGUCAUGAAUUUAAAGUCCAACUUUAGAAUAUCACUCAUAGAGUACAAGCCUCUACAUGGUGUUCCUAUUGGACUCGGUGUCUUGGAACUCGCAUCCAGUUAUCGCACCAUCUCCAUCAUCCAGUCAGUCCAGUCUCCAUCUCAGUUUGGUCCAAAGGCAGAGAAUGCCUUAAGUUCACCUGUCAAAAAUUCUUUACAGGUGUGAAAUCGAAAGUCAAUAAAAUCUGAAA
rnacentral:lncRNA from 1 species